GACGUAGGGCGCGAGCGUUGUCCGGAUUUAUUGGGCGUAAAGAGCUCGUAGGCGGCUUGUCGCGUCGUCCGUGAAAACUUGGGGCUCAACCCCAAGCUUGCGGUCGAUACGGGCAAGCUAGAGUUCGGUAGGGGAGACUGGAAUUCCUGGUGUAGCGGUGAAAUGCGCAGAUAUCAGGAGGAACACCGGUGGCGAAGGCGGGUCUCUGGGGCCGAUACUGACGCUGAGGAGCGAAAGCGUGGGGAGCGAACAGG
rnacentral:rRNA from 1 species